rnacentral:rRNA from 1 species
CCUACGGGUGGCAGCAGUGAGGAAUAUUGGUCAAUGGGCGCGAGCCUGAACCAGCCAAGUAGCGUGAAGGAUGACUGCCCUACGGGUUGUAAACUUCUUUUAUAAAGGAAUAAAGUGAGGCACGUGUGCCUUUCUGUAGGUACUUUAUGAAUAAGGAUCGGCUAACUCCGUGCCAGCAGCCGCGGUAAUACGGAGGAUCCGAGCGUUAUCCGGAUUUAUUGGGGUGAAAGGGAGCGUAGGUGGGUUGUUAAGUCAGUUGUGAAAGUUUGCGGGUCAACCGUGAAAUUGCAAUUGAUACUGGCAGCCGUGAGUGCAGUUGGGGUAGGCGGAAUUCGUGGUGUAGCGGUGAAAUGCUUAGAUAUCACGAGGAACUCCGAUUGCGAAGGCAGCCUACUAGACUGCCACUGACAUUGAUGCUCGAAAGUGUGGGUAUCAAACAGGAUUAGAUACCCUGGUAGUC